AAAUUUUUUAAUUUUUUUUUAUCAGGCACCAAUUUCCGCUUGGGAAAGAGCUGACAGCAGCACUUUCAGCUUUCCAGAGCCGCAGCACAUUGUGUUUGUUGGAUGAUAGAAUAAGCAGAGAAUUAUUUGCAGAUUUCUGAAGCAACCUUAAAGUCCGUUCAUGUUUCCUAAUAUUUCAUUCUGCUCAAGUCUUUCUGCCAUUUUCUGACCGUUUUGAUUUCGCCAGCUACAGAGGAGACCGAUUUUAUGUUACAACGGCCUGCCAUACCGGUGCGACGAAAAACAAAACUAUGCUCUGGUCUGCUGGCAUGUAGCAUAGAUAUGUUUGAGUAGAAGCCGCAUGCACUGCAGGGAGGCCGCCAUCUUGGAAAGGUCGCCCACUCGCUUUUAAUCAAUAACUCGCUGAACACUGAAGUGAUUUUCACGUCUACGACGCAAAACCUGUACAUAGAGCUAUCAUAACAAGAUGUAUAGCGACACUUUAAAAAAAAAUUUUUUUUUGUUUAAAUUGAAUUGCCACGACCCAUUUUUUUGUCUUGAAACCUUUAUUGAUUCCAGUCAUCGUUACAAACAUAACACAAUAUACUUGCAACUAGUUUGUUCGUUUGACUAUUUUUAUUAUUAUUUCUUUUUUAUUAAAGCUCCAGACAACUUUACUUCCUAAUUUGCUGCUAUUUAUUUUUUAGCAAAAGUAAAAUAAUUUCACGUCUGCGCAGUUAGCUUGGAGCCACUCAGUGGAUAUGCAGCGUGGGAAUCCACCCAUUCACUGUAUGUGUGCAGUGCUGCGUAUUUUGUGGGAAAAAAAACUGUCAUCAUACCAAGCAGCUGAAGAUGGAGAGGGAGAGAACAGCAUUGCUGGUUUGGUGGAAGACGCAGCUUGCAGACUAAAGAAGUGACACAAGGGGGCGCCCUCGAGCUACAAAAACCAUGAGCUUCAAAGGAAUUUAAAUGUUAUAAAAGAAAAAAAGUCCAUUUUAUGAAUAAACAUUUACGUGAAACA